UACGUAGGGUGCAAGCGUUGUCCGGAAUUAUUGGGCGUAAAGAGCUCGUAGGCGGUUUGUCGCGCCUGCUGUGAAAACCUAAGGCUCAACCUUGGGCUUGCAGUGGGUACGGGCAGACUAGAGUGCGGUAGGGGUGACUGGAAUUCCUGGUGUAGCGGUGGAAUGCGCAGAUAUCAGGAGGAACACCGAUGGCGAAGGCAGGUCACUGGGCCGCAACUGACGCUGAGGAGCGAAAGCAUGGGGAGCGAACAGG
rnacentral:rRNA from 1 species